UACGUAGGGUGCAAGCGUUAAUCGGAAUUACUGGGCGUAAAGCGUGCGCAGGCGGCUAUGCAAGACAGAUGUGAAAUCCCCGGGCUCAACCUGGGAACUGCAUUUGUGACUGCAUGGCUAGAGUACGGUAGAGGGGGAUGGAAUUCUGCGUGUAGCAGUGAAAUGCGUAGAUAUGCGGAGGAACACCGAUGGCGAAGGCAAUCCCCUGGACCUGAACUGACGCUCAUGCACGAAAGCGUGGGGAGCAAACAGG
rnacentral:rRNA from 1 species